rnacentral:rRNA from 1 species
GGGUGGGCACUCUAAGGAGACUGCCGGUGACAAACCGGAGGAAGGUGGGGAUGACGUCAAGUCAUCAUGGCCCUUACGGCCUGGGCUACACACGUGCUACAAUGGUCGGUACAAAGGGUUGCCAAGCCGCGAGGUGGAGCUAAUCCCAUAAAACCGAUCGUAGUCCGGAUCGCAGCCUGCAACUCGACUGCGUGAAGUCGGAAUCGCUAGUAAUCGUGAAUCAGAAUGUCACGGUGAAUACGUUCCCGGGCCUU